rnacentral:rRNA from 1 species
CCUACGGGUGGCAGCAGUGAGGAAUAUUGGUCAAUGGACGAGAGUCUGAACCAGCCAAGUAGCGUGAAGGAUGACUGCCCUAUGGGUUGUAAACUUCUUUUAUAUGGGAAUAAAAUGUUCCACGUGUGGGAUUUUGUAUGUACCAUAUGAAUAAGGAUCGGCUAACUCCGUGCCAGCAGCCGCGGUAAUACGGAGGAUCCGAGCGUUAUCCGGAUUUAUUGGGUUUAAAGGGAGCGUAGGGGGAUUGUUAAGUCAGUUGUGAAAGUUUGGGGCUCAACCGUAAAAGUGCAGUUGAAACUGGCAGUCUUGAGUACAGGAGAGGUGGGCGGAAUUCGUGGUGUAGCGGUGAAAUGCUUAGAUAUCACGAAGAACUCCGAUUGCGAAGGCAGUUCACUGGACUGCAACUGACACUGAGGCUCGAAAGUGUGGGUAUCAAACAGGAUUAGAUACCCGGGUAGUC